UAAGUACUCAAGUUUUUUAAUUUUUAAAGAUCUCCCUUCGGUUCAAAUUCAAUAUACCCAUAACAAUAAAAUAAAGUAGUAUAAUUACCAAGCAGGAACAUCUGGCAGAUGAUUAAAUUGAAAGUUGUGUCAGCACCUGUGAGUCUCUUUUUUUUAAAUAAGCUUGAGGAUGGGAAGGGAAUGCCUUUCUUUGCACGUGGCACACCUGGAACAAGAAAAAAUAAAUAUAUUAUAACAACGCUUUCUUUGUCAUCAAAUAACUAAUAGUAAUAGGAUGUAGAAGUAAGCGAAGUAGUAUUGAUUGAUAUGCAUUAACAUCAUCGCACAGUAAGUAUACGGGACAUGAAAAAGUGAAACAACCGUUGACAUUUGGCUGUAGAAAGUCAACCGUAAUUCGUUUUAAUCGCGUCUGAGUUGGUCUUUACGGUACUAUAUAAUUAUCCAUUAUAUUACUCUACUCUUAAUAUAUUUUUUUUCAUUAUUUAUUAUCAUCAUUACAUCGCCAUCAAAUCGACGAGUUAAAUAAUUAUUGUCAGUAAGAAUAGUUGUUGAAAAACUGAGUAAGAGUCGGCGUUUAAAAUUAAAACUUUAUGCUCAUUUUUCGGCGUCUGAAAACAAAAAUAGUAAUAAAAAUAAUUUUUCAAAUACGCUAUUAAAUUUUU